UACAGAGGCCUCGAGCGUUAGGCGGAAUCACUGGGCUUAAAGCGCGUGUAGGCGGACCGUUAAGUGCCUUGUGAAAUCCCACGGCUCAACCGUGGAACCGCUGGGCAUACUGGCGGUCUUGGGCCACUCAGGGGCAACCGGAACAAGCGGUGGAGCGGUGAAAUGCGUAGAUAUCGCUUGGAACGCCAAAGGUGAAGACAGGUUGCUGGGGGUGUGCCGACGCUGAGACGCGAAAGCCAGGGGAGCGAACGGG
rnacentral:rRNA from 1 species